rnacentral:misc_RNA from 1 species
AAGGGAAAAAUGAAUCACAUCACCUUAUAGCAACCAAAUUUUUCCUCAAACUUCACCACAAUUUUACCCAUGAAACACUUAAAACAAAGAAAUUCAACAAUCUCUUCUACUUUCUCAAGAUUUUCUCCUCAACCCAACAAGUCCCUGAAACCAAAGAUUGGAACUUUAUGAAAAAUUUUACAAUCAAAGAAGAAACAAAUGGAUCACCAUCACCCAUCACCUUAAACCAACCAAAUUUUCAUCUUUCCUUUUUUCUUUUUUCCCUUCAAAAACCAUUAAAU